rnacentral:misc_RNA from 1 species
AAAACACAGUUGGCAAUCUGUGGCAGUGUGGGUUGACUAAUUAAGUACAUGAACAAUAAUUUUUCAAACUAAUAAAGUCUUAUGUAGUUUAAUUAGGAAAAUACAAGUCUGUCAAAAGAAGCUAAUCCUAUUGUUUUGUCUUCUGGUGUGGUAGUCAUUUUAAUAAUUGGUAAAACAAUGCAGUCUAACCCAAAUAAAUUGAUGAUGUUAGAGUGUGAUAUGGCAGACACAUGAGGCCAAAGAAUCAAAGGUGGAAUUUUUGGCUGCCAGCAGCACCUGGAAGUGGACAAUGUGCAAUGUGCUGUAAUUCUAAUCCUAGGUAGAAAAAUAGGAGGAAGAGAUAUAACACAUAUCUCUAGUGCAUCACACUCAGGCUGACUGAAACCAAUUGCAAAUAGUCGGUGGGUCGUCACUCCUUGGUUGUUUUCUGUCUUCUUCUUGGUGUCCUUAAUUACUCCAACAAAUGAUGCAUUCUCUAUUCUUACCUCUUGCCCUAUAUCUGAA